UACGGAGGGUGCAAGCGUUGUCCGGAUUUACUGGGCGUAAAGCGUGUGUAGGCGGCUUCGCAAGUUGGAUGUGAAAUCCCACGGCUCAACCGUGGACGUGCAUCCAAAACUGCGUCGCUAGAGUCUCGGAGAGGAAGGUGGAAUGCUUGGUGUAGAGGUGAAAUUCGUAGAUAUCAAGCAGAACACCUGCGGCGAAGGCGGCCUUCUGGACGAUGACUGACGCUGAGACACGAAAGCGUGGGGAGCAAACAGG
rnacentral:rRNA from 1 species